UAGGGAAUAUUGGUAAUGGGCGAAAGCCUGAACCAGCAACGCCGCGUGUGCGAUGAAGGCCUUCGGGUCGUAAAGCACUUUUUAAGGGAAUGAGAAAGGACAGUACCCUUAGAAUAAGUCUCGGCUAACUACGUGCCAGCAGCCGCGGUAAAACGUAGGAGACGAGCGUUAUUCGGAUUUACUGGGCGUAAAGCGCAUGCAGGUGGUUUGGUAAGUUGGAUGUGAAAGUUCCUGGCUUAACUGGGAGAGGUCGUUCAAAACUGCCAGACUUGAGAAUGGGAGAGGGAGGUGGAAUUCCGGGUGUAGUAGUGAAAUGCGUAGAUAUCCGGAGGAACACCAGUGGCGAAAGCGACCUCCAGGCCUGUUUCUGACACUCAGAUGCGAAAGCUAGGGUAGCAAACGG
rnacentral:rRNA from 1 species